CGUAUAUUUUGCAGGAAAUAAAUGCACCAAUAUGAAGAGCCCGAUCUACAAGCUUAAAAAGAUCAAACGAGAUAAAAAAUGGAGUUAAAAUGAAUUUAAAUUUUAAGCCGAAAGCAAACCCGAUCCAAUUUACAAGCUAGUGGUCCACCAUGGACCACUUGGUCCAUUAAAAAAAAUGGGUGAGCCACGUGAAAAGCAAUGGCUCAGGGAGUGUUUGGUGGGCUUCACUGACGGAAUGGUUGCC
rnacentral:lncRNA from 1 species